CUGCUGCCUCCCGUAGGAGUUUGGGCCGUGUCUCAGUCCCAAUGUGGCCGAUCAACCUCUCAGUUCGGCUACGCACCAUUGCCUUGGUAAGCCUUUACCCCACCAACUAGCUAAUGCGCCGCGGGCCCAUCCAAAAGCGGUAGCAUAGCCACCUUUUACAUAGCUACCAUGCGGUAACUAUGGUUAUGCGGUAUUAGCACCUGUUUCCAAGUGUUAUCCCCCUCUUUUGGGCAGGUUGCCCACGUGUUACUCACCCGUUCGCCA
rnacentral:rRNA from 1 species